GGAGUUGGCUAGACAAUCGCUGCUUCGUCGUUGUGCUUGACCUUUGGGGACAGCAGACGGGCGAAGGGGAGGAAAGUCCGGGCUCCAUAGAGCAGGGUGCCAGAUAACGUCUGGGGAGCGAAAGCUUACGACCAGUGCAGCAGAGAGUAGACCGCCGAUGGCGUAGCAAUACGCACAGGUAAGGGUGAAAGGGUGCGGUAAGAGCGCACCGCGCGGCUAGUAAUAGUUCGUGGCACGGUAAACUCCACCCGGAGCAAGACCAAAUAGGGUUCCUUAUGGCGUGGCUCGCGUUGGAACCGGGUAGGUUGCUUGAGCCUAGGAGCGAUUCUAGGCCUAGAUGAAUGAUUGUCCACGACAGGACCCGGCUUAUCGGCUGACUCCAACC
rnacentral:RNase_P_RNA from 1 species